AGCGGCAGACGGGUGAGUAACGCGUGAAUAAUCAACCCUGUACAAAGGGAUAGCCUCGGGAAACCGGGAUUAAUACCAUAUGAAGUAUAUUAAUCGCAUGAUAGAUAUAUUAAAACUUUGGUGGUACAGGACGAGUUCGCGUCCCAUUAGCUAGUUGGUGAGAUAAAAGCUUACCAAGGCGACGAUGGGUAGCCGGCCUGAGAGGGUGAACGGCUACACUGGAACUGAGACACGGUCCAGACUCCUACGGGAGGCAGCAGUGGGGAAUAUUGCACAAUGGAGGAAACUCUGAUGCAGCGACGCCGCGUGAGCGAAGAAGGCUUUCGAGUCGUAAAGCUCUGUCCUAAGAGAAGAAGAAGUGACGGUAACUUAGGAGGAAGCCCUGGCUAACUACGUGCCAGCAGCCGCGGUAAUACGUAGGGGGCUAGCGUUGUCCGGGAAUUACUGGGCGUAAAGGGUGAGUAGGUGGUCAUUAAAGUCAGAUGUAAAAGGCAAUGGCUCAACCAUUGUAAGCAUUUGAAACUUAAUGACUUGAGUGCAGGAGAGGUAAAUGGAAUUCCUAGUGUAGCGGUGAAAUGCGUAGAUAUUAGGAAGAACACCAGUGGCGAAGGCGAUUUACUGGACUGUAACUGACACUGAGUCACGAAAGCGUGGGGAGCGAACAGGAUUAGAUACCCUGGUAGUCCACGCUGUAAACGAUGAGUGCUAGGUGUCGGCAAGAGAUUGUCGGUGCCGCAGUUAACGCAUUAAGCACUCCGCCUGGGGAGUACGAUCGCAAGAUUGAAACUCAAAGGAAUUGACGGGGACCCGCACAAGCAGCGGAGCAUGUGGUUUAAUUCGAAGCAACGCGAAGAACCUUACCAAGACUUGACAUCCUCUUGACAGGUGUAGAAGUACACCCUCUCUUCGGAGCAAGAGUGACAGGUGGUGCAUGGUUGUCGUCAGCUCGUGUCGUGAGAUGUUGGGUUAAGUCCCGCAACGAGCGCAACCCUUAUCAUUAGUUGCCAUCAUUAAGUUGGGAACUCUAAUGAGACUGCCGGUGAUAAACCGGAGGAAGGUGGGGAUGACGUCAAAUCAUCAUGCCCCUUAUGUCUUGGGCUACACACGUGCUACAAUGGUCGGUACAACGGGAAGCUAAGGAGUGAUCUGGAGCUAACCCCAAUAAGCCGAUCCCAGUUCGGAUUGCAGGCUGCAACUCGCCUGCAUGAAGUUGGAGUUGCUAGUAAUCGCGAAUCAGAAUGUCGCGGUGAAUGCGUUCCCGGGUCUUGUACACACCGCCCGUCACACCACGGGAGUUGGUAAUACCCGAAGCCGUCGAGCUAACGUAAGAGGCAGACGUCGAAG
rnacentral:rRNA from 1 species